rnacentral:sRNA from 1 species
UUAAAUAUAAAAGCUCUAAUAGUUUAAAUUAAUUCAUUAGUAUAAUAAACUGAAAAGCUCCAACCUUUGAAGGAUGAAACACAGUCACUACUACAUCACUGUUACAAUUUUAGAAAGGGCGACAAGGAGAAUAACAGGAAAAAAAGUGACAAAAAAACUAUUAGUGAUUACAUUGCUAUGAUUUCCCGCCGGUACAAAAUUUGCCGAUUUCUGGAGCACGACAAGGACGGGAAUCUGUGUGUUAUAUAAGAAACUCAUAAUUUCAAAGAGCAAGAAGAGGAUCGGAGACAAAUAAAUCGUCGAUGUCUUGGAAAAAGUCAUGAUUUCUGUCUGCAUGCCAACUUUUCAAACCGAAAUCCUCACAAGCAGUGAGAAACACCCCAGGCCAGUCAUCGUCGGAGAACAAAACACUCUCAGCCGCCGCAGCGCCAUCUAACUCGCCGUACACGUCCGGCGCCGCCAAACAGUCUUCGAAGUCAAAUUUUAGUUCACUCGGAAUCGGAAUCGGAACCGGAAACGGUGACUCAGCUUUUGCCUUGGAACUUUCAGACACGGAGGAGUAGUCAUCGUCUUUGCCGGUCACGGAUUCAGCUUCCUCAGACAAAGAGCAAGAAUGAAGUACGGAGGUGGGAGAAAACAGGUUUUUGUUCUGAGUUUCCUCAACGGAGGCGUAACCGUUGGACACCGGCGUCUGGUCUUUGUUGUGCCACGUGGCAGGUGGCGUUAUGAAAUUGGUGAGCGCGUCGGGUCCACGCAGCUUAAUGGCCGCGUUGUCGUACACUAAGGCGGCUUCCUCGGCAGUGUCGUAGGUACCCAACCAUAACCUCACGCGUCGCGACGGGUCUCGUAUCUCGGCAGCCCAUUUUCCCCACGGCCUCUGUCUCACUCCUCGGAAUUUCUUUCCGGUCGACCCGCGCGGAGUCUCUGCAACUCUGCCCUUGCCCACCACGCUCCUUCUUCGAACUCUCUUCCCGGAAAAGACGGCGUCGUUCUCGGCAGCGCAGGGCUCGAUGGAAAUCUCGUUGAUGAAUUUGGUGUGGCGUUGUCGUUGGCGUUGGCGCUUGGAAGAGUGAAAGGUUUGUUCUUCGUCGCUGGAGGAGUCGGUGGCGUCAGUGUCCGUGACGGUUAUUCUGACAAGUCUGGGACAUGGGUUUUUUGGUGGGUGGUGUUGGGUGUGAGUGAGUGUGAGUAGUUUGGUGUGGUGAGUGAACUUGGUCGGUGGCGUAGUCAUGUUGGAGAAGAGUAGCAAUAGCAAAGCAUUGAGUAAGGGAAACGGUGGAGGAAGAAGUGGAGAGGGAAAAGGGAAAAAAAAGGGUGAGAGAGAUAUUCCUUUGGGACACGAGGAGGGAGAAGAGAAUAAAUAAAGGUAGAAGGGAGAGGGGACACGUUUUAGAAGAGUGAGAAAUGUAGGGUGAAUUUACUCUUGAAUUGAAUAGAUAUGGUUGAGAGAGUAAUUGAAGGGGGAGUGUAGUAAUUUGAAGAAAAGAGCGUGAAAUUAAGAAAGAAGGUGGUGCAGAACAAGUUGGGUGAAAGAGCUGAAGGAAGGAGACAGAAGGUACGAAAAAAGUGGAGGCAUAUGAGGCAGACCCAAGACUGUAGCCUCAGCCUGUGAACUCUGUGGGGCUAUACAAAAACAUAACCAUUAAAUAUUACAAAUAAAGCUACAUUUUAAAUCUUAAACACUGUCUUCUCCGGAAAAGAUAAAGGAAGCCUGCAGCUGGCGCUGUGUUGCGUUGCCGAAAUUGCGACCUAUGCACUGCACUGCUCUGCCCUGCCCUGCCCUGCCGACAACAAUCACAGCAAGUUGUGUACUACACAGAGAUGAAAUGAUGAUACCAAGAAAAAGAAAAGGAUCUGUUAGCAAAUGAAAUGAAAACAAGAGGCUCUGAGAUUUUCGCAAAGGUACUACUACUCCAUACAGGGAUAACUGUCUAAGUACUCUUCUUUCUCUUCCCAAACCUAUUUUAUAGCUUCCAUAACCUAUUCACCAAAAUAUAAAACAUUUUUCCCUUAAAUACAAACCACCUAAUGUCUCUACCUUUUUUAAAAACAUUUAUCAGCUUUCUUUCCUUACCAACAAAAUGUUAACGUUACACAUUUAGUAUUCACAAA